rnacentral:rRNA from 1 species
CCUACGGGUGGCAGCAGUGGGGAAUAUUGCGCAAUGGGCGAAAGCCUGACGCAGCGACGCCGCGUGAGGGAUGAAGGUCUUCGGAUCGUAAACCUCUGUCAGCAGGGAAGAACGGUCACUGGGCUAAGCAGCAGUGAAUUGACGGUACCGGCAAAGGAAGCACCGGCGAACUCCGUGCCAGCAGCCGCGGUAAGACGGAGGGUGUGCGCGUUAAUCGGAAUUACUGGGCGUAAAGCGCUCGUAGGCGGUAUGUCAAGUCAAGGGUGAAAUCCCCGCGCUCCACGUGGGAACGGCCUUUGAAACUGGCAAACUGGAGUGUGUGAGAGGCUAGUGGCAUUCCCGGUGUAGGCG